rnacentral:tRNA from 1 species
ACGGUGGAUGACAAAUUGGCCAGUCGCUCCUUUUGGGUAGGAGAAAUGUUGUGAGUUCGAAUCUCACCCUCCGUG